AUAAGAUCUAUCUCUCCAAGUCGUCAUUUUUGCCACGCAUGUGUGUCGUCUACAAUCCCGUCAGAGCACGUCCCGAGAGCAGCCUACCGAUACAGACUGUUCGGGCGGUUCCACCGGUCGCCACCUCGUGCGGCGUGCAUUUAUAUCAGCCGAUAAAAGUCCGCUCAUUGAAAUAUUACCAUUCGUAUGACCCUAUAAAUGCCCUUCUUCGACUCCAAAGGCAAUGGCAUCGAGCGGCGACGAGAAAACGGUUCAAUCUACGCGUUGACGUAUGAGAGUUUCAAAACUCAAAACUCCUGAGUGACGAAAGGAACUGAAGGCGCUGUACCCAGAGCGAGAAUGGCGCUUCGCUCGGAUGUCCUCCUCCACGCCCCAGGAAGCCCCGUGCAUCGACAGACUCUCGGGGACGUGGGCGGUGUCUCUUUGCGGAGAUACGAGGACAACCCCUGCGGCCUUGAGACCGCUCUUGCCUGACUGUGUGACUAUCUUUGGUGCAGCGUUCACAUUGACAACAAGUCUCCCUCAACGUUUUACUGAAGAUCAGAAUCACACGAGGCUUUUGCUCGCUACUGGGAGCAGUGAUGGCACACUCGUUGCCAGGGCGUCUUGCCCACUCCCCCCGUCCACUUUGAACUUCUAACUCUUAGGGAAACGUUAGCGAAAGUAUGAAGUUGAGAGCAGAUCUUUUGGUUUCCAUCUACCUCGAAGACUCGCGAGGGCUCUUUUGCGCCAAGAUUUCCAUCUGAAAGAUCUCUGAUGUUAUUGGCAUCGGUUAGGACUGUUGCCGUCGUGGCCAUCAUGUUUCGAUAGAGAGCUGACCAACUUGCACCCUGUAGUACUCAUCAUCAACAAUCAAACUCCCCAGGUGAAUUUGAAGAGUCUGACAACGUUCAUGUCCGCGCUGGCUUUUUUCAGAUGCAUGUAGACGAAAAACGAGGCGGGAAGGAAGCCAAAGAAAAGGGAAGUUUGAAUCGGUUUAUCCUGUAGAUGCCAAUCUGCGCUUUAGCCCUGGCCCACCUGGCGUGGAUUUGGGGUACUUGGAAGUGCUGUGGCAAGCAAGGGCUGUACGGGACGGGUGAACAAAUGUGAUGCGACGUGUCCACGCGCCCGGACAACAUCUCAGGAGCUGUUCAGCUUUCAUAUCUAAGUACGAUGUCUACGUUCUUUGCCGACGCUUCAACCGCCGGAAAAAUUAGGAAAUCGGUCGGUACCCAUACCAGCAUGAUGACGCGGUCGCUUACCACAGAUGCGACCUUGACUAUUUCGAGGUCAAACUCUAGCAGCAGACACACACAGAUGACCGAAACUGAGCCUGAAACAACUGUGUUUGUGCGUUUGCAUGCGGACCUCUGUGGUAUAGAGUCGCCCAACGACGAGGCUGCACUCCAUACAAUGUUUUUCCGGAACUUCGUCUGUAUCGGGAUUGUGUACUUCGGGCUGCGUCCUGAACACCGAAGCAACGGAGAGAACUUGCGCCCGUACGCUUGGCAUAAGGCAUGGCGCGGUGCAAACACACAACCAGUACAAAUUGUACCACCACAACUGCAGAAAACUUUUCGUCGGUGCACACAUCCUUCAACGGGAUCGUAGCCCAUCU
rnacentral:lncRNA from 1 species